rnacentral:rRNA from 1 species
UACGUAGGGUCCGAGCGUUGUCCGGAGUUACUGGGCGUAAAGGGCGCGCAGGCGGCGGUGCUGGCCCGGCGUGAAAGCCCCCGGCUCAACCGGGGAGGGUCGUCGGGGACCGCACCGCUUGAGGGCGGUAGGGGCCGGUGGAAUGCCUGGUGUAGUGGUGAAAUGCGUAGAGAUCCGGAGGAACACCAGUGGCGAAGGCGACACGCUGGGCCGUACCUGACGCUAAAGCGCGACAGCAUGGGGAGCGAACGGG